rnacentral:tRNA from 1 species
ACUCAAGAAAUGAAUUUUCAUAUAUGGUUUCGACCCAUACUUAGGUAUUUUUACCCUUGUUUC